UGAGGAAUAUUGGUCAAUGGGCGUAAGCCUGAACCAGCCAUCCCGCGUGAAGGAAGAAGGCGCUAUGCGUCGUAAACUUCUUUUCCAGAGGAAUAAAAUUUUGUACGAGUACAGAACUGAAGGUACUUUGGGAAUAAGCAUCGGCUAACUCCGUGCCAGCAGCCGCGGUAAUACGGAGGAUGCGAGCGUUAUCCGGAUUUAUUGGGUUUAAAGGGUGCGUAGGCGGAUUAAUAAGUCAGUGGUGAAAACCUUCAGCUUAACUGGAGAACUGCCAUUGAUACUGUUAGUCUUGAGUACGGUCAAGGUAGGCGGAAUGUGUAAUGUAGCGGUGAAAUGCUUAGAUAUUACACAGAACACCGAUUGCGAAGGCAGCUUACUGGGCCAUUACUGACGCUGAUGCACGAAAGCGUGGGGAGCGAACAGG
rnacentral:rRNA from 1 species